rnacentral:rRNA from 1 species
UACGUAGGUGGCAAGCGUUGUCCGGAUUUACUGGGCGUAAAGCGCCCGCAGGCGGCUUGUUAAGUUCAAGGUGAAAUCUCCCGGCUUAACUGGGAGGGUGCCUCGAAAACUGGCAGGCUUGAGGUGAGGAGAGGGAUGCGGAAUUCCAGGUGUAGCGGUGAAAUGCGUAGAUAUCAGGAGGAACACCGGUGGCGAAGGCGGGUCUCUGGGCCGAUACUGACGCUGAGGAGCGAAAGCGUGGGGAGCGAACAGG